UCCAGGGUAGCCUAGUGGACAUGGCAUCUGCCCGGUAAGUGGAAGGUCUUAGGUUCGAUUCCCGCCCCUGGAC